UACGGAGGGGGCUAGCGUUGUUCGGAAUUACUGGGCGUAAAGCGCACGUAGGCGGACCAGAAAGUUGGGGGUGAAAUCCCGGGGCUCAACCUCGGAACUGCUUUCAAAACUAUUGGUCUGGAGUUCGAGAGAGGUGAGUGGAAUUCCGAGUGUAGAGGUGAAAUUCGUAGAUAUUCGGAGGAACACCAGUGGCGAAGGCGGCUCACUGGCUCGAUACUGACGCUGAGGUGCGAAAGCGUGGGGAGCAAACAGG
rnacentral:rRNA from 1 species